rnacentral:rRNA from 1 species
AACGUUAACGAACGAGACCUCGACCUGCUAAAUAGUUCGACAAAGGAUUCUUUCUUUGGACGUGACUUCUUAGAGGGACUAUCGGUGUGUAGCCGACGGAAGUUUGAGGCAAUAACAGGUCUGUGAUGCCCUUAGAUGUUCUGGGCCGCACGCGCGCUACACUGACAGAGCCAGCGAGUACUUUUACCUUGUCCGAAAGGACUGGGAAAUCUUGUGAAACUCUGUCGUGAUGGGGAUAGAGCAUUGCAAUUAUUGCUCUUCAACGAGGAAUACCUAGUAAGCGCAAGUCAUCAGCUUGCGUUGAUUACGUCCCUGCCCUUUGUACACACCGCCCGUCGCUAAUACCGAUUGAAUGGCUAU